GAUGAACGCUAGCGGCAGGCCUAACACAUGCAAGUCGAACGGUAACAGGAAUUAGCUUGCUAAUUUGCUGACGAGUGGCGCACGGGUGCGUAACGCGUAUGCAACUUACCUCUAACAGGAGGAUAGCCUUUCGAAAGGAAGAAUAAUACUCCAUAAUAUUUAUUAGUGGCAUCAUUAAUUUAUUAAAACUACGGUGGUUAGAGAUAGGCAUGCGUCCUAUUAGCUAGUUGGUGAGGUAACAGCUCACCAAGGCGAUGAUAGGUAGGGGGCCUGAGAGGGUUAUCCCCCACACUGGUACUGAGACACGGACCAGACUCCUACGGGAGGCAGCAGUGAGGAAUAUUGGUCAAUGGACGAAAGUCUGAACCAGCCAUGCCGCGUGCAGGAAGACUGCCCUACGGGUUGUAAACUGCUUUUAUAUAGGAAUAAACCCUCGUUCGUGAACGAGGCUGAAGGUACUAUAAGAAUAAGGACCGGCUAACUCCGUGCCAGCAGCCGCGGUAAUACGGAGGGUCCAAGCGUUAUCCGGAUUUAUUGGGUUUAAAGGGUCCGCAGGCGGGAGAAUAAGUCAGUGGUGAAAUCCUGUCGCUUAACGAUAGAACUGCCAUUGAUACUGUUUUUCUUGAGUAUAGAUGAAGUGGGCGGAAUGUGUCAUGUAGCGGUGAAAUGCAUAGAUAUGACACAGAACACCGAUUGCGAAGGCAGCUCACUAAACUAUAACUGACGCUCAUGGACGAAAGCGUGGGGAGCGAACAGGAUUAGAUACCCUGGUAGUCCACGCUGUAAACGA
rnacentral:rRNA from 1 species